UUGAGAGGAGCUGUCCUUAGUACGAGAGGACCGGGAUGGACGCACCGCUGGUGUACCAGUUGUUCUGCCAAGGGCAUAGCUGGGUAGCUAUGUGCGGAAGGGAUAAGUGCUGAAAGCAUCUAAGCAUGAAGCCCCCCUCAAGAUGAGAUUUCCCAUAGCGUAAGCUAGUAAGAUCCCUGAAAGAUGAUCAGGUUGAUAGGUUCGAGGUGGAAGCAUGGUGACAUGUGGAGCUGACGAAUACUAAUAGAUCGAGGACUUAACCAUAUAA
rnacentral:rRNA from 1 species